rnacentral:rRNA from 1 species
ACGAACGCUGGCGGCGUGCUUAACACAUGCAAGUCGAACGGUGAAGCGCCUUCCUUUUUGGUGGGUGUGGAUGAGUGGCGAACGGGUGAGUAACACGUGAGUAACCUGCCCCCUUCUUCUGGAUAACCGCAUGAAAGUGUUGCUAAUACGGGAUAUUCUGGGUCUGUCGCAUGAUGGGUCUGGGAAAGAUAUUGUUUCGGUGGGGGAUGGGCUCGCGGCCUAUCAGCUUGUUGGUGGGGUGAUGGCCUACCAAGGCGGUGACGGGUAGCCGGCCUGAGAGGGUGGACGGUCACACUGGGACUGAGACACGGCCCAGACUCCUACGGGAGGCAGCAGUGGGGAAUAUUGCACAAUGGGCGCAAGCCUGAUGCAGCGACGCCGCGUGAGGGAUGGAGGCCUUCGGGUUGUGAACCUCUUUCGCCAGUGAAGCAGGCCUGCCUCGUUUGUGGGUGGGUUGACGGUAGCUGGAUAAGAAGCGCCGGCUAACUACGUG